rnacentral:tRNA from 1 species
AAAUAUGAAGCAAUUAUUGCUUUUAGUUUCGACCUAAAAAUAUGAUUUUAAAAUCCAUAUUUU